rnacentral:rRNA from 1 species
UACGUAGGGUGCAAGCGUUGUCCGGAAUUAUUGGGCGUAAAGAGCUCGUAGGCGGUCUGUCGCGUCGGCUGUGAAAACCCGAGGCUCAACCUCGGGCCUGCAGUCGAUACGGGCAGACUAGAGUGUGGUAGGGGAGACUGGAAUUCCUGGUGUAGCGGUGAAAGUGCGCAGAUAUCAGGAGGAACACCGGCGGCGAAGGCGGGGUCUCUGGGCCAUAA